rnacentral:rRNA from 1 species
GACGAACGCUGGCGGCGUGCUUAACACAUGCAAGUCGAACGGAAAGGCUCCAGCUUGCUGGAGUACUCGAGUGGCGAACGGGUGAGUAACACGUGGGUAAUCUGCCCUGCACUCUGGGAUAAGCCUGGGAAACUGGGUCUAAUACUGGAUAUGACCUUUCUCCUUAUGGGGUUUGGUGGAAAGUUUUUCGGUGUAGGAUGAGCCCGCGGCCUAUCAGCUUGUUGGUGGGGUGAUGGCCUACCAAGGCGACGACGGGUAGCCGGCCUGAGAGGGUGAUCGGCCACAUUGGGACUGAGAUACGGCCCAGACUCCUACGGGAGGCAGCAGUGGGGAAUAUUGCACAAUGGGCGGAAGCCUGAUGCAGCGACGCCACGUGAGGGAUGACGGCCUUCGGGUUGUAAACCUCUUUCAGCAGGGACGAAGCGUAAGUGACGGUACCUGCAGAAGAAGCACCGGCUAACUAUGUG